rnacentral:rRNA from 1 species
AUUGAACGCUGGCGGCAGGCCUAACACAUGCAAGUCGAGCGGAGCGGCGGACGGGUGAGUAAUGCCUAGGAAUCUGCCUGGUAGUGGGGGAUAACGUCCGGAAACGGGCGCUAAUACCGCAUACUAUCAGAUGAGACUAGGGCGGAUUAGCUAGUUGGUGGGGUAAAGGUCUACCAAGGCGACGAUCCGUAACUGGUCUGAGAGGAUGAUCAGUCACUCUGGAACGGAGACAGUGUCCAGACUCCUACGGGAGGCAGCAGGGGUGAAUAGUGCACAAGGGGCGCAAGCCUUAUGCAGCCAUGCCGAGUGUGGGAAGAAGUCCUGCGGGUUGUAAAGCACUUUCAGCGGGGAGGCGUUACCCGCAGAAGAAGCACCGGCUAACUCCGUGCCAGCCGCCGCGGUAAUAC